rnacentral:rRNA from 1 species
GAUGAACGCUGGCGGCGUGCCUAAUACAUGCAAGUCGAGCGAACAGACGAGGAGCUUGCUCCUCUGACGUUAGCGGCGGACGGGUGAGUAACACGUGGAUAACCUACCUAUAAGACUGGGAUAACUUCGGGAAACCGGAGCUAAUACCGGAUAAUAUAUUGAACCGCAUGGUUCAAUAGUGAAAGACGGUUUUGCUGUCACUUAUAGAUGGAUCCGCGCCGCAUUAGCUAGUUGGUAAGGUAACGGCUUACCAAGGCAACGAUGCGUAGCCGACCUGAGAGGGUGAUCGGCCAAACGGGAAUUGAGACACGGUCCAGACUCCUAGGGGAGGAAGCAGUAGGGAAUCUUCCGCAAUGGGCGAAAGCCGGACGGAGCAACGCCGCGUGGGUAAUGAAGGUCUUCGGAUCGUAAAACGCUGUUAUUAGGAAAGAAAAAAUGGGUAAGUAACUAGGAACGUCUGGACGGUACCUAAGCAGAAAGCAACGGCUAACUACGU